CAGCCUGAGGUGUCUGAGCUCUCUGAUGGAGGACCGCGGCCCCCGCAGCCCCUUCGCCCUCCACGUCGGCAGCACCAGGUCCUGGGCCGCCCUGUUCUCCGCCUCCGCCUCCGGGCCCGGGGGCAGGACCCCCGCCGGGACCCCGGUGCCCGAGCCUCUCGCCCCCUCCUUUGAUGACCUGGCCUGCAAGGAGGAGCUGUGCUGGGAGGAGGCGGAGGGCUGCGCCCCGGACGAGGGCUGUGGCAGGCGGGGGGAGCCUGCCCCUGCCUGGCGGGACCGGGUGGCCGAGAGCAGCCCCUGCUCCCUGGACGGCGAGUUGGAUAUUGAACAAAUAGAGAAUAACUGAGGCCCGGCCCGGGCAGGUGGCGCACCAGGAUCCACGCCUCCCUCUGGGCACGGGCAGGCGCUUGAAGCGGGAGCCCCACUCCUGGGCCUGAGAAAGCAUUCGGAAGGAGUCGGGUCCCCGGGAGCGCGCCCCCUCCUCCUGCAGAGGCGCUCCUGCCCGCAGAGCUCCCGGCCCAGGGCGCCCACCCGGCCACGCCGCCAGCGGAAUGGAGCCCGGCCCUGACCAGUGGGCCACGGGCCACAGAACUGCUGUGGGUUUGGGUCUCCCCGCCUUUUCCUCGUGGGACGUGGGCCCCACGCAUCCCAGGCGCCUGCCGGGCACGCAUCCCCGCUCUGCCUGCUGCCCUGGCUGGGGUUCGACCCUUCGGGGCUUGUUGGGGGCUCAGGCCCAUCCAGGGGUGUCGGGUCCUUCUAGGCCACCUGCUCAGGUUCCGUGGGGGGUCGCCCCCAGCUUCUUUCACUCAGUCUUACUCUGUGCCUUGCCUCCGGGCCCCGCCUCAGGCUGGAAGGUUCCGGAGGCGCUUCCUUCUGCAGCAGCACCAGACCCGAGUGGCCUUAAUUCCGAGUGAGAGACAGAGGCCCGGGGCCGGGGGGCCUCCGCGUCUGAACUCUCGGGGGCCAGGGAACAACUUGGGGUGCUUGUCAGAGGCCAUCUAUGGGGGGCAGACACGGGGUGGGGAGACAGACCCGCUUACCUCCCCCGUGUGUGGCCAGCCCGGCCCCGUGGCUCCCGGCCACUCCGGGGCCCACUCUGCAGGGUUGGCAGGGGGCAGCCGUUCCCCGUGCCACCCGGUCACUGAGGGAUGGGCUUAGUUGAUUCCGGGAGCGGAGAGAUGGCACCAUGGAAGGUCAACCUUUUGAAAACGUCCUCAGGAGGCGGGAGGGUGAGCAGGUGCCCACGCCAGGCCGGUGCCCAGGUCAGGGUGCGGGUGUCGCUGGCCGCUCCGGGGCCUGGUCGAGGGCCUGCACAGCCCCCUGCGGAAUUCCAGGCGCAUGCUCGAUGGUGGUGGACGUUCCCUGGGGGCUUUAAUCAGGGCGCCCGUCCACCUCGAGACAGACCCCCCGUGCUCAGCAGGAGCAGUGUGUGUUCAUUGCCGCCUCCUUGCCCAGCCUCACUGUAGGCACAGAGCUCGCACACACGCACCCUCUCCACCCCCCUGCGCUCCACCCGCCCUGCUCCUCGCACCCUGGCGGCCCUGGCGGCAGCGGCGAGGAGCCUGCCCCGAGUCUUCACUCAGCCGCCCGGCUCGGCCCGGCUGCAGACGACCGUGUGGCUGUUGGAAGUGGGCCUUGGUGACCUCGGCACCUUCCGCACACAAUAGCCAUUGGGGGGCUUAUGAGCUGUGGCUCCUCCCAGACAGUAACAGGUUCGGUCACUGCUCGCCCUCUGCCAGCAGCCCUGCCUCCCUCCUGCCGUUUACACCAAAGGCUCGCACCUUCCCGAGGACAGGUCCCACGGAAGCUCUCCUUAAACCUGCACUUUUUACAUCAAAAGGGGUGGCUUUUUCUACAGUCAGCAGAGGCCGCUUGCAGAAAACCCAGCCGUGGCCGUGGGGAUGGUGUUGAGGUCCCCGUUGAUGGGCGGGCGGGCACUGGGCGGGGCCCUGGGCGCCAACCAGCUUCGCCCGAGUGGCUCCCACCCAAGGCACGUCCCCUCGGGCCAUCGAGCACAUCUCGCCGUCCCCACCGGGCGGCUUGUGGAGGGCACGUGUUAGCGGUGACAGAGGAGCUGCAUUCAGAGGCCGCGUGCUCCCUGUGCUCAGCAGCCCGGGUGGGAGGCACUGGGAUUCGGUUGCCGCCAAGAAGAGAGGCCACAGGGGACCAUGGCCUCUAAGGCAGUCCCUCCUGAGAAGGAGCAGGCGCCCACAGCGAGGGGGGCUGAGCCAGGACGGCCUGGGCCGCGGCCCCACAUGCCUCUCCUCGGGCGAAAGAGGGAGCCACGUGGCGGGGGGUGUCCCAGGGCUGCGGUGCAGGUGACCUCAGAUCCAUCCUCCCCUCCUGCCCCCGCGGGUCCCGUCCACCAGCCCCCCCCCCCCCCCAGGGCACUGUCGGGAAGGGGGACUCCAGCCCCGCAGGGCUUGGCCCUCUCCUGUCUCCCAGCCCCUCUGGGCUGUGCUGCCCCGGAAGCUCCUCGCCCACGGCCACGCCCACAGCCCACACCGCAGCAGCGAGGGGAGGGGACAGCCUGGGCCUGGUUGUAUAGUUGUCUUUUGGUUGGAGAGGGCAGCCUUCUUCUAGGAGGUUCUGCCAUGCUGCCCGGAGAGGCCCAUCUGCUCCACCCCCCUAGCCCCUCUGGUCUUGGAGGGGGGCUCCCUCUGACCCGUGUUGACUGUCCCCAGGGGCCGGGGGCAGGCUGGCAGCUCGCCCUGCCGGAGCCUCACUAGUUAGGGUCCUGCCUCAUGGCCGAUGCCCAUGAACUGCUCUGAGGGGGCGGGAGGACAUCACAGCCAGGAGGGAGGGCAGGGCUGCCGGGUCCUGCAGAACAAGGGCCGGGUCGUGGCUCUGGGCGAUGGGUGGGGGAGGAGAGGCCCCCUCUCAUGUGGCCCCUCACCCCAAAGGAGCACCCUCCCCCGCCGCCAGGCUCCCAGACCCCGGAUGGCGGUGAAACCCGCCCGCCCCAGGGCGUGGGCAGGGUGCUGCUGUCCUCACCGUUUACAUGCCACAACCGCUUGCCUUACUCCCGGUGGCCGGGCCCGGGGCCCACGGCACGCACGGCCUCCCGGCCACAGGGCUUGUUCUGACCACACGCAGAUUCCCAUUCUCAGAAAGCCUUACUUUUCAACGAGAGAUUUUUGUAGCAGGAAAGUUUUGUGAAUUUGUUUGCCGGAAGAAAAUGUCAAUAAAGGAGAAGCCACGUGAUCAAACCAAA